CACGUAGGGCGCAAGCGUUGUCCGGAAUUAUUGGGCGUAAAGAGCUCGUAGGCGGUCUGUUGCGUCCGCUGUGAAAACUCGGGGCUUAACCCCGAGCCUGCAGUGGAUACGGGCAGACUAGAGGUAGGUAGGGGAGAAUGGAAUUCCCGGUGUAGCGGUGAAAUGCGCAGAUAUCGGGAGGAACACCGGUGGCGAAGGCGGUUCUCUGGGACUUGCCUGACGCUGAGGAGCGAAAGCGUGGGGAGCGAACAGG
rnacentral:rRNA from 1 species